AGGACGAACGCUGGCGGCGUGCUUAACACAUGCAAGUCGAGCGGUAAGGCCUUUCGGGGUACACGAGCGGCGAACGGGUGAGUAACACGUGGGUGAUCUGCCCUGCACUCUGGGAUAAGCCUGGGAAACUGGGUCUAAUACCGGAUAUGACCUGCUCUCGCAUGGGGGGUGGGUGGAAAGAUUUAUCGGUGCAGGAUGGGCCCGCGGCCUAUCAGCUUGUUGGUGGGGUAAUGGCCUACCGAGGCGACGACGGGUAGCCGACCUGAGAGGGUGACCGGCCACACUGGGACUGAGACACGGCCCAGACUCCUACGGGAGGCAGCAGUGGGGAAUAUUGCACAAUGGGCGAAAGCCUGAUGCAGCGACGCCGCGUGAGGAUGAAGGCCUUCGGGUUGUAAACCUCUUUCAGCGAGGACGAAGCGACAAGUGACGGUACCUGCAGAAGAGCACGCUAACUACGUGCCAGCAGCCGC
rnacentral:rRNA from 1 species